AUACGGAGGGUCCAAGCGUUAUCCGGAUUCAUUGGGUUUAAAGGGUCCGCAGGCGGGAAAAUAAGUCAGUGGUGAAAGCCUACAGCUCAACUGUAGAACUGCCAUUGAUACUGUUUUUCUUGAGUAUAGAUGAAGUGGGCGGAAUAUAUCAUGUAGCGGUGGAAUGCAUAGAUAUGAUAUAGAACACCGAUUGCGAAGGCAGCUCACUAAACUAUUACUGACGCUCAGGGACAAAAGCGUGGGGAGCGAACAGGAUUAGAUACCCUAGUAGUCC
rnacentral:rRNA from 1 species